CCUACGGGUGGCAGCAGUGAGGAAUAUUGGUCAAUGGGCGAGAGCCUGAACCAGCCAAGUCGCGUGAAGGAUGAAGGCCCUAUGGUUUGUAAACUUCUUUUAUAUGGGAAUAAAGUGUGUGACGUGUUCCUUUUUGUAUGUACCAUAUGAAUAAGCAUCGGCUAACUCCGUGCCAGCAGCCGCGGUAAUACGGAGGAUGCGAGCGUUAUCCGGAUUUAUUGGGUUUAAAGGGCGCGUAGGUGGGUUGUUAAGUCAGAUGUGAAAGUUUGUGGCUCAACCCUAAAAUUGCAGUUGAAACUGGUAGACUUGAGUAUCGUAGAGGUAGGCGGAAUGCGUGGUGUAGCGGUGAAAUGCAUAGAGAUCACGAAGAACACCGAUUGCGAAGGCAGCUCACUAGACUAAAACUGACACUGAGGCGCGAAAGCGUGGGGAUCAAACAGGAUUAGAUACCCUGGUAGUC
rnacentral:rRNA from 1 species